rnacentral:rRNA from 1 species
UACGUAGGGUGCGAGCGUUAAUCGGAAUUACUGGGCGUAAAGCGUGCGCAGGCGGUGCUGUAAGACCGAUGUGAAAUCCCCGGGCUUAACCUGGGAACUGCAUUGGUGACUGCAGCGCUGGAGUAUGGCAGAGGGGGGGUGGAAUUCCACGUGUAGCAGUGAAAUGCGUAGAGAUGUGGAGGAACACCGAUGGCGAAGGCAGCCCCCUGGGCCAACUACUGACGCUCAUGCACGAAAGCGUGGGGAGCGAAACAAG